UACGUAGGGGGCAAGCGUUGUCCGGAUUCAUUGGGCGUAAAGAGCGUGUAGGCGGCCAGGUAGGUCGGUUGUGAAAACUGGAGGCUCAACCUUCAGAGGUCGACCGAAACCAUCUGGCUAGAGUCCGGGAGAGGAGAGUGGAAUUCCUGGUGUAGCGGUGAAAUGCGCAGAUAUCAGGAGGAACACCGGUGGCGAAGGCGGUUCUCUGGGCCUGUACUGACGCUGAGGAACGAAAGCGUGGGGAGCGAACAGG
rnacentral:rRNA from 1 species